UACGUAGGGGGCAAGCGUUGUCCGGAUUUAUUGGGCGUAAAGAGCUCGUAGGUGGUUCGGUAAGUCGGAUGUGAAAUCUCCAGGCUCAACCUGGAGGGGUCAUUCGAUACUGCCGUGACUAGAGGUCGGUAGGGGAGUGUGGAAUUCCUGGUGGAGCGGUGAAAUGCGCAGAUAUCGAGAGGAACACCUGCGGCGAAGGCGGGUUGCUGGGCUGACACUGACGCUGAUGCGCGAAAGCUAGGGGAGCGAACGGG
rnacentral:rRNA from 1 species